rnacentral:misc_RNA from 1 species
CUCCGUGCUUGCGCAUCGAACGGUUGACACGCUAUCCACCCCCAGACCCGUGACCCCCCGAGCUGCAAGGCCCGAGGGGAGUGAGUGCCUCCAGUCGUUGUGCUUGCGUUGGAUACCCGUCCGUCCCCCUUCGAAGGGGGAAGGAUCGGCCCGACAUCGUCCCACGUCCGUCCGUCCGACGCCUCGCGAGGGGCUUCUCGGAGGACCACGAAGCGGCUCCCGCGAUCCACUCGCGCCGGCACGAUCGGCGAGUUUGGCUCGUGGGACGUCGUUGCUCUCUCGGAUGCGGUGCAUGCCGAGGACUGCCGGGGCCUUGGUCCCAGCCCGUCCCGAACGAACGAUUCGAUUAGAUUCUCCUGAGAGACGCUCGCGUCGUCCGACGCCCGCGAGGGCCGGCGCGCGAGAUCUCGCGGAGGGUUGCUACCUGGUUGAUCCUGCCAG